rnacentral:sRNA from 1 species
UAGUUAUACACCAUGUAUUUUGGAGUCGCGCUGAACUUCUGAUACCCUUUGAUGACCUUGUUUACAGCAUCAAGGAAGUCCUUCUCAGUCACUGUUUUCCGUCGGGCGCGAAUCGCAUACAUGCCAGCUUCUGUGCAGACACUCCUUAUAUCAGCUCCUUUGAGUUGGGGCAGAGGCGAGCCAGCAGCUCGAAACGGAUAUCGCGCUCACAGUUCAUGGUGCGUGUAUGUAUCUUGAAUAUUUGGGUACGGCCCUCCAGGUCAGGUAAGCCAAAUUCUACCUUCCUGUCCAAACGACCAGGACGUAGAAGUGCAGGAUCUAAGUAUGAUAUGCAAUACCUGUUUGUGGCCAUCAGAACCUUGAUGUUUCCCCUCGCAUCAAACCCAUCGAGUUGGUUCACAAUUUCCAACAUGGUACGCUGAACCUCAUUAUCACCCCCAACCCCAUCAUCGAAGCGAGCACCUCCAAUAGCAUCAACCUCAUCAAAGAAGACAAUGCAUGCUUUCUUCGAGCGGGCCAUCUGAAAUAAUUCCCGGACCAUCCGUGCCCCUUCACCAACAUAUUUUUGAACUAACUCACUGCCAAUUACACGGAUAAAAC